rnacentral:tRNA from 1 species
GUCAAGGUGCCAGAGUGGUUAAUGGGCUGCCCUGCUAUUCAGUUCGUCUGGAAGCUGUCAGGCAGUGGCUUCGGUCGCGCAGGUUCGAAUCCUGUCCUUGACG